rnacentral:rRNA from 1 species
UCUGCCUAGGAGUGGGGGAUAACAUUCGGAAACGGAUGCUAAUACCGCAUAUCUUUUUGAACCGCAUGGUUCUUAAACGAAAGACGGCUUCGGCUGUCGCUCUUAGAUGAUCCCGCGGCGUAUUAGUUAGUUGGUGGGGUAAAGGCCUACCAAGACCAUGAUACGUAGCCGACCUGAGAGGGUGAUCGGCCACACUGGGACUGAGACACGGCCCAGACUCCUACGGGAGGCAGCAGUAGGGAAUCUUCCACAAUGGGUGAAAACCUGAUGGAGCAAUGCCGCGUGAAUGAAGAAGGUCUUCGGAUCGUAAAGUUCUGUUAUUAGAGAAGAACAAGUCAAGGAGUAACUGUCUUGACUUUGACGGUACCUAACCAGAAAGUCACGGCUAACUACGUGCCAGCAGCCGCGGUAAUACGUAGGUGACAAGCGUUGUCCGGAAUUAUUGGGCGUAAAGGGAGCGCAGGCGGUUGGAAUAGUCUGAUGUGAAAGCCCACGGCUUAACCGUGGAAGGUCAUUGGAAACUGUCCAACUUGAAUACAGAAGAGGUAAGUGGAAUUCCAAGUGUAGCGGUGAAAUGCGUAGAUAUUUGGAGGAACACCAGUGGCGAAGGCGACUUACUGGUCUGUAAUUGACGCUGAGGCUCGAAAGCGUGGGUAGCAAACAGGAUUAGAUACCCUGGUAGUCCACGCCGUAAACGAUGAGUGCUA